AACAAUAAUAUCCCAAAAAUUUAAAUUAAUAAACUGAAUAAAAUUUUCAAACCUCAUUCUCCAAAAUAGGUAGUUCUCCUCUUUGAACAAAGGUGACCUCAUCAUGGAUUGUCUUUCACUAAUGAAGCCCGAGGAUGAUGCUAUUGCUGUUACUUGAAGCUUGUUGUACAAUAUCUCUCAAAGGUGGUUAAACUUGUAAAGAACUAGAGAACGUGCUCUGAAAAGAUAAGAAUGAUCAAGGAAGGUCUAAGCUCAAGAAAGAUCAGCUGAAGGGUAAAGAUAUGAACUUUAGGCUCUUUGCUUGCUGAAAGGUAGAAACUUUACUAUUCACAACUGCUGUUACUAUUUUUU
rnacentral:lncRNA from 1 species